rnacentral:rRNA from 1 species
GAUGAACGCUGGCGGCGUGCUUAACACAUGCCAGUCGAACGGAAAGGCCCAAGCUUGCUUGGGUACUCGAGUGGCGAACGGGUGAGUAACACGUGGGUGAUCUGCCCUGCACUUCGGGAUAAGCCUGGGAAACUGGGUCUAAUACCGGAUAGGACCACUUCUUGGAUGUUGUGGUGGAAAGUUUUUUCGGUGUGGGAUGAGCUCGCGGCCUAUCAGCUUGUUGGUGGGGUAAUGGCCUACCAAGGCGUCGACGGGUAGCCGGCCUGAGAGGGUGUACGGCCACAUUGGGACUGAGAUACGGCCCAGACUCCUACGGGAGGCAGCAGUGGGGAAUAUUGCACAAGGGGCGCAAGCCUGAUGCAGCGACGCCGCGUGGGGGAGGACGGCCUUCGGGUUGUAAACUCCUUUCGCUAGGGACGAAGCGUUUUGUGACGGUACCUGGAGAAGAAGCACCGGCUAACUACGUG